UUCCACAGCUACUGGACUGGAACUGUUCUGUACUGUAGCGGUUGCAGUAUUUCAACUGUGGGAAAUGAUCAGUUACACUGUGUAGUGCUCCUUUCUCAAUCAAGGGAAGAGAAUUUCAGUGUAACAGACAGGA
ensembl:snoRNA